rnacentral:rRNA from 1 species
GUCUUUUAAUUGGAGUCUGGAAUGAAUGGUUGGAUGAGGGAUAAUCUUUCUUUAUUUUAAUAAAAUAAUUUAAUUUUUAUGUUAAAGAGCCUAAAUUAAUAUAUAGGACGAGAAGACCCUAUAGAACUUUAUUAUUAAUUUUAUAUUAAUAUUUUAGCUUAUUAUAUAUUAAAAUAUUAUUAAUAAUUUUGUUGGGGUGACAAAAAAAAAUAUUUAACUUUUUUUAUUUAUUCCAUUUAUAAAUGUUUUUUUGAUCUUUUAUUAAAGAUAAUAAGACUAAGUUACCUUAGGGAUAACAGCGUUAUUUUUUUAUAGAGUUCAUAUCGAUAAUAAAGUUUGCGACCUCGAUGUUGAAUUAAAAUAAGUAGCAGGGGUAGAUUAUUGUUUACUAGGUCUGUUCGACCUUUAAUUUUUUACA